AAAACACAGCCAAGCAUACAUUUUUUAAAGGAAGAAACCACGAUUCUAUAAGUUAAAUGAAGUAAAUAUUUACCUAAUUUUAAAAUAAGUCAUUACAAUAAUCAUGGUCUUUUUCUUUUCUGUGAAUAUUAAAAUAUAUGUCGGCCCCAUUAGAAAAAGUUUUUUAUCAAACCAGUAAGGAAGCACUUAUGUUUACAUUUUUCCUUUUUUACUUCUACACAUUAGUUUAAAAGAUAAGUUUAUGUGUAGAAUCGUAAGUUAAUUUGGUUUCUUACUCUAGGUACCAACAGGAUGGGCCGAUUAUCACUCAGGUAUUUAUAAACUUGUUCAAUUCUUUAAGAAGUAGCUACUCUAGAAAAUAUGUUGCUAUAAUUAAGCAUAUAGAUAUGUUUUUGCCACAGAUAUUUCAGAGAUGUCACUGAUCUUUCUAAAACUUCCUAUGAGUUCUCUUCGCUUAAGGAAUGUGAAUUUCUAUCAACUUAAUUUUGUUGCUGUUGGAUACCUACGCUGGUAAAAGCACAACCAGCAACCUCUUGUUUUAGCUUGAGAAUGAUUUUAAAUGCUUUUAUAAUAUUUGUUCCAUACAACUUUUACUCUUCUUAGGUUUAUAUUUGUUGCUUACAUUUUUAAAACAAAAGAACAAGUAAAAUAUUCUUUUGCAGACAGUUUCCACCAAAAAGAUGAUCUGGUGCAGUGUUCAUUUCAUGAUAGAAGAUGUUGGCACUCGUUUUUUAACAUAAUUUGUUUUAAAGGGUGUCUAUGUAAUGAACUCAUGAAUGCCUCGACUCACUCUGACGGCCUUGCAUGAAUAAAUUUCCUCAUAAUUUCUUCUAGAACGGAAAGCAAAAACAACCCCAGGAGAACUGAGAACCGCAGAGCCUCAUUGGUUGGUGAAGCGAAUUUGUCACACAUUAAUUUUUCAAAUAAGGUGCAUUUGGAAUGGGGGUUAUUAAACCUAGUAAGAGGGUUGUUAGUCCAUCUAAAAGCCCCGUUGCUUCUAUAAUAAACCAAGUAUCUAGUUUUAAAAGCAAAAGGGAAAUUGUACAAUAUCCGUCACUCAUAUAAUCUCUCCUCCCCGGUCCUUGUGUUAAAUUAGGAUAAAUUUUACUUUCAUCCCUUUCUAAGUAUAAUCUCGUUUCAGAAGGGAGGGAACGGAGAAGUUAGUUUGGUAGAUGAAACAGUCUGCUAGAAGGAAGUUGGUGAGAUUAGACAGACGUUUUUUCUUCCAUCUUACAUAUUAUUUCUCAAGCAAUUCAUACACAAUAAGGUGGGGAAAUAUAAGGUAGAUACUGUACGUACUACUAGAGAUUAAACUUUUUUAAUUAAAAAAAAAUCUCUGAGGGGUCAAGGGUGGGGAGCCACUCCUAACGGCAGGCGUGUCGCCUGGACCGCUGGACAGCGCAGCAGCUCCCACGCCCCUUGGCUGGCACGGAGGGAAGCUCUCAGAAGCCCCCAGUGAACAGAUUUACCCUUUAACUCUGACCACCUUUCUUGGCAAAAGCAUCCCAUUACCUGGUUUCGGCACCUUCGGUAAAUGAAGGGUAACCGGUGUUAAAAUGUGACAAUGCGGUCGAGUCAGCUUGAUGACAGACCUGGCUGUGCUGAGCAGCUGGCGAAUGACGCAGCAUCCCACCUAGCAGGCAGAGAGGCUCGGAGGAAGCGUGCGAAGUGGGCGGGCAGAGCCUGUAGUGUUUGAGACGUGUUGGAUGGCAGUGCUUGAGGGAAACUCGGCGUCCUUGGAGGAGGAGUGUGAUACUUUCGUGGAGAUUUUGAGGGACACCAUUCGAUGUUUCCAAGAGCUCUGACGUGAACGAUGCUCGUCUCUAUGAGUCCUGGCGGUGCCUUCUCUUUUCCUUGGCCUGUGUGUCUCCGUGACUGUUCUUUUCUCCGCUCAGAUGUCUCUUCGGCUUCUCACUGCGUAGAAAAAGGCAGCCGUGGUUUUUGAGGCAUCCUCAACUUGGUCCCGGGUUUUCCAGCCUAAUUCCCCAGUUUUACUCCAGUGAAGCCCUAGUCCUGUCAUUCUUUUUACACUUUUCCAAACGUGAUUGGCAUAUACCACCCUCCGUGUUUCUAUUUAUACUUACCUUUUCCUGGAAUGGCCUUACCUCAACAUGUCCCUGGGCUUUUCAUCCUUCAAGACCUGCUCAAAUCCUUGAUUUUUUUUUUUUUAAUA